CACGUAGGGGGCAAGCGUUGUCCGGAUUUAUUGGGCGUAAAGAGCUCGUAGGCGGCUUAGUAAGUCGGGUGUGAAACCUCCAGGCUCAACCUGGAGACGCCACCCGAUACUGCUGUGGCUAGAGUCCGGUAGGGGAGCGUGGAAUUCCUGGUGUAGCGGUGAAAUGCGCAGAUAUCAGGAGGAACACCAGCGGCGAAGGCGGCGCUCUGGGCCGGUACUGACGCUCAUGCACGAAAGCGUGGGGAGCAAACAGG
rnacentral:rRNA from 1 species